GCGGGUGUAGCUUAAUGGUAAAGUGCUAGCCUUCCAAGCUUGCUAUGAGGGUUCGAUUCCCUCCACCCGCUCCA
rnacentral:tRNA from 1 species